AUACGGAGGAUCCGAGCGUUAUCCGGAUUUAUUGGGUUUAAAGGGUGCGCAGGCGGGAGAUUAAGUCGGCGGUGAAAAUUUUGAGCUCAACUGUAAAAGUGGCUUCGUAACGUGGUUUCUUGGGGGUAGAUGAAAGUGGGGGGAUUUGUGGUGUAGCGGUGAAAUGCCUAGAUAUCAUGAAUGACUCCGGUUGCGAAGGCAGUCCGCUGGGGCACGUCUGACGCUGAUGCUCGAAGGUGCGGGAAUCAAACAGGAUUAGAUACCCUGGUAGUCCGCACGGUAAACGAUGAUUACCCGCUGUCGGCGGUAGACAGUCGGCGGCCAAGCGAAAGCGAUAAGCGCCCCACCUGGGGAGUACGGUCGCAAGGCUGAAACUCAAAGGA
rnacentral:rRNA from 1 species